ensembl:lncRNA
GCAAUCACAAGGAAAUUAUGCAAAACAUCUACGAAAAUCAAUCUGAAUAAAAAGGCUAAUCUCUUAUUUACAAAUUCUGCUAAUUGAAUGUGGAUAACAAAGCACAUGCACAUACAAAUUGCAAAUAAGCUAUGGUUGUGUGGGUAUAUAUAUUAUAUAAUAGAUAUAUUAUAUUACAAAAGGUAACAAAGCUUUACCCUAUUAACCUAUACAGGCUCCUGGUUUUAAAGCCACUUACAGCAGCGAAACUGCUGAACACUCAAGAUUGCAAGGGUCAUAGACAGGAAAGAAAACAGAACAAACAAGAGACAUUACAAGAGAAGAUGAAGUGAUUUUAGUUCGAAAGACCAAGGAAGACAAUUGGGCAGAGAUGAAGAAGCACAUUAGAAAACACAAAAAGGACAAUCAAACCGACCGAAUCAACUGCUGCAGAUAAGAUAUAUAUUACACACACGACGCAAACGUCAUCACCCGUCAUAAGAAGAGGCUGAACUGUUCAUAAAUCAAUGAUAGUCGCAGUCUUUAUCCCGUAGAAAGGAUUGAACUUGUUUCGUAUGGUCGGAGCGCACAGCCUCAACCUCCCUUGGAUUGCUAAGGCUUUGUAGAAGAGUUCAUGAUUGAAAAGAGAUGAGGGGACAUCAAUGGAUUUGCAAGCGUCCAGAUCUUGUACUGGAUGGAGAGCUGGAUUACUUCACAGAGGCAUUGGAGAGGAUGACUGUAUGAGGGAGCGACGACCGUUGAGUUGGGCUGGAGGGAAAGGGGGGAGGGGGGGAUUGGUUUGUCGGUCGGUUGUGGAGGGAAGAGGGGCUUUUCAACCAUCAACUCCUCAGCUUCAGCUUCUCCGCGACUUGGAGUGCUGGAUGAGCCACUGCAGGGUGAUGUCUGAGGUCAGGGAGAAGAGCAGAGGCUGUUGGACGUCCAUUCAAGACGUGCUGUUUAAUUAUGGAGUUCUGUUCAUGAUCCUCAUCUCCUUUUGGCUUCUGCCCUCCCACGCCAGACAAAUUGGACAAACCGUCGCAAUUCUUUUUUUUUACAAUUUCACUGUCUCUGUAGGCUAUAGCUGUAUGUUGUCGUUCUGAAGUAAAGUUCAAUCCAAUUCAUAUUGUUAACACGCCUACUUCACUUGAGUGAAUUCAGAUGCAGGUCAUUAUGGAGCUGGUAGUGGUAAUGUCUCUUACUCAAGGCGGCCUACAGGUGGACUGUGGCUAUUGAAAGGCUAACGCUAACCACCAUGCUAUCCUGCCCAUGUAGGAUGCUUUGUGCUUACCUAUGUUGUCUUUCUCUUUGCAGGAGACGGAGUAGCAGCAGAUCUCCCUGUCCUGAAUAGCAGAAAGG